rnacentral:misc_RNA from 1 species
UCUCCGUUGGUGAACCAGCGGAGGGAUCAUUAUCGAGUUUAUAACUCCCAAACCCUAUGUGAACUUACCACUUGUUGCUUCGGCGCGCGCUUCGGCGCCGCCGAGGACACUUAAACUCUUUGUUUUUAUAAGCAUUUCGGAGUGGCCGAAAGGCAAAAUACAAAUGAAUCAAAACUUUCAACAACGGAUCUCUUGGUUCUG